AAGUCGUAACAAGGUUUCCGUAGGUGAACCUGCGGAAGGAUCAUUAUCGAGUUUUGAACGCGGGUUGUCGCUGGUCCCCUCCUUACACGAGAAGGGGGCAUGUGCACGCCUGGGUCAAUCCACUCUUCCAACCCCUGUGCACUUGUUGUAGGUUCAGGUCGGACGGUCGACUCUUGGUCGUCGACUCGAAAGCUUGGCCUAUGUUUUCUUACGAACGCUUCAGUCAUAGAAUGUAAAACAUCGCGGAUAACGCAUUUUAAAUACAACUUUCAGCAACGGAUCUCUUGGCUCUC
rnacentral:misc_RNA from 1 species